rnacentral:rRNA from 1 species
CCUACGGGAGGCAGCAGUGAGGAAUAUUGGUCAAUGGACGAGAGUCUGAACCAGCCAAGUAGCGUGAAGGAUGACUGCCCUAUGGGUUGUAAACUUCUUUUAUAUGGGAAUAAAAUGUUCCACGUGUGGGCUUUUGUGUGUACCAUAUGAAUAAGGAUCGGCUAACUCCGUGCCAGCAGCCGCGGUAAUACGGAGGAUCCGAGCGUUAUCCGGAUUUAUUGGGUUUAAAGGGAGCGUAGGUGGAUUGUUAAGUCAGUUGUGAAAGUCUGCGGCUCAACCGUAAAAUUGCAGUUGAAACUGGCAGUCUUGAGUACAGGAGAGGUGGGCGGAAUGCGUGGUGUAGCGGUGAAAUGCUUAGAUAUCACGAAGAACUCCGAUUGCGAAGGCAGCUCACUGGACUGCAACUGACACUGAGGCUCGAAAGUGUGGGUAUCAAACAGGAUUAGAUACCCCAGUAGUC